rnacentral:rRNA from 1 species
AUUGAACGCUGGCGGCAGGCCUAACACAUGCAAGUCGAGCGAGCGGCGGACGGGUGAGUAAUGUCUGGGGAUCUGCCCGAUAGAGGGGGAUAACUCCUGGAAACGGUGGCUAAUACCGCAUACUAUCGGAUGAACCCAUAUGGGAUUAGCUAGUAGGGGGGGUAAAGGCUCACCUAGGCGACGAUCUCUAGCUGGUCUGAGAGGAUGACCAGCGACACUGGGACUGAGACACGGCCCAGACUCCUACGUGAGGCAGCAGUGGGGAAUAUUGCACAAUGGGCGCAAGCCUGAUGCAGCCAGGCCGCGUGUAUGAAGAAGGCCUUAGGGUUGUAAAGUACGUUCAGCGGUGAGGCGUUACUCGCAGAAGAAGCACCGGCUAACUCCGUGCCAGCAGCCGCGGUAAUAC